GAUGAACGCUGGCGGCGUGCCUAAUACAUGCAAGUCGAGCGAACAGACGAGGAGCUUGCUCCUCUGACGUUAGCGGCGGACGGGUGAGUAACACGUGGAUAACCUACCUAUAAGACUGGGAUAACUUCGGGAAACCGGAGCUAAUACCGGAUAAUAUAUUGAACCGCAUGGUUCAAUAGUGAAAGACGGUUUUGCUGUCACUUAUAGAUGGAUCCGCGCCGCAUUAGCUAGUUGGUAAGGUAACGGCUUACCAAGGCGACGAUGCGUAGCCGACCUGAGAGGGUGAUCGGCCACACUGGAACUGGGACACGGUCCAGACUCCUACGGGAGGCAGCAGUAGGGAAUCUUCCGCAAUGGGCGAAAGCUUGACGGAGCAACGCCGCGUGAGUGAUGAAGGUCUUCGGAUCGUAAAACUCUGUUAUUAGGGAAGAACAAAUGUGUAAGUAACUAUGCACGUCUUGACGGUACCUAAUCAGAAAGCCACGGCUAACUACGUG
rnacentral:rRNA from 1 species